UUUCCAUCGAUCAUGAACAGUCGACUUUGUAAAGUUUCCGGCCAGUAUUUAUUAAAAAAGAUAGCUGAGCGGUAGCAGCAUUACUAUGAUAUCCAAGGAUUGGAAGAAAUGAAAUUCCUGGGGGCGUGGCAGAACCCAACCGGCAUGUUACACGUGUUUAAAGUAAGGGCUUCUCGGGACAUGUUACAAGUGACUCCCAAUUGCUGUUCAAAAAUGGUGAGUUUUAGAGUAAAAUAUUCAAAG